AGGAGAGCAAAAUAAAGCAGGAAGUUUAAUUCAUUAGAGACUUUUGUAGUAGUUAAAGAAAUAAUCGUGGCCUCUCCAAGGGUAACGCCAGUGAAUACGGAGAAAAGUAAAUGUACUUGAGAAAGGCAAAAUAAAAGGACUAUAUGACUGGAUUCAGGGGAUGUGGGAGAAAGAAGGAAAAAUCUUAAAGACACUUUUACUUUGGUGGUUUGACCAGGUGACUGGGGAUCAUUCAGAGACUGAGAAGAGAUGAGAAGGGGCAAGUUAUAAAAGAUGAACAGGGAGGAAAGAUGUUGAGUAGUGGAACUGCUGAGUUUGGAGUUCUGGAGACGGUAUCUAGACGGUAGCUAGAUAUUUAAGUCUGAUGCUCAGAAAGGAAAUCUAAUGGAUGGCAUAGAUCUGGAAAAUUUCAUAAAAUAGAUAGGAAUUUAUACAAAUAAGGAUUUUUUGUUUGUUAUUUUGAGACAGGCUCUCGCUCUGUUGACCAGGCUGGAGUGCAGUGGCGCUACCACAGCUCACUGCAGCCUUGACCUCCCAGGCUCAAGCAAUCCUCCACCUCAGCCUUGCAAGCAGAUGGGACUAUAGGACAGUGGCAUACUAUCACAUCUAUCAAAGAAAAUGUGAAAAGUGCCUGAAAUGUGCUACUGAUCAACCAAUAGCAGUGAAAACUCACAUAUGGUACACAUUCCAUUUGGAUCACAAAAGCAAAGCCAAACAUCUCGGUAAGUGGGAGGAAGUAACUGAUGAACUGACUAAAGGAAAAACAGAGACUCUGGGCUUGGUCAUGUGACUUACUUCAGUCAAUGGGACAUUAGCAAGAAUAAUAAAGCAGGAGUUUGAUAAGAAUUUGUACAUUUUGGCUUAUCAUCUUAAAAUAUUCUUGGAAGCCAGAUGCAAUAAGAAGUCCAGCCACCCUAAGACCACUAUAUGUGAGGAAACCCAAGCUAGUCAUGUGGAAAAAACAUGUAAACAGAGGGAUGCCUGGCUAGUCUCCAGCUUAGUCAUGGGAGUGAAGAAGCCACUUUGGAUGUUCCAGCCUUGGAAGAUACUUCCUGGAACCGAAGAAACACCUUGCUGAGCCCAGCACAGACUGCAGAAUCAUGAGAAAUAAUAGUUGGUUUAAGCCACUACAUUUUGGAGUGGUUUGUUAUAUAACUAAAACAAGCAAUGAUAGAAAAGUCUAGCAAACCAAUUAGUUAUUUGUAAGAAGUAAAAAUGUUAUAGAAACCUAAUAUUUAUACUCUUUGAACUGUUACAUGUGCUCCAUUCUGAUUUUAUACAACUUUAAAUGCUUAAUUCUCAAAUUACCUUACUCUUAGGGUCCUCUUCAUAUGUUUUUGUUUUAGGUUGCAAUGGAGGUGAAAUAGUGGCUUGUAUUUGAGGAGACUGAAAUUUAGGCCUACUUUUAGGUUGCUGCUCUUCAAAUUCCUGACUGAAUCCUUCAGGAAGUGCAUCUUAAAAUAAAAGAAACUAUGCUGAAAAUAAACAGGCAUAUGAUACAUAAAACACACAAAUAUUUGUUAAGCAUUUGUAAACCUUGCCUAGACUUAGAGCACCUAAUUUUCUUCUAUUCCCUCAUCUCCUAAGAAUAGAAAUCUUAAGAUGAACCUGGUUUUAUCCGUCAACCUAGAAGUGAACGUACUCAUCAGAUGAUAGCUAGCCCUCUUGUAUUUGGCCAUUAUUUCACCCUCAAUGUUAGGCUCCUAAAUUGUCAUAAGAUCUUAAUCCUUCCCACUCUUUGGCUUUCUGUCACAGCAUGUGGUAGUAUCCUUAGUCACCACAAGCCAUUUGCACUCCAGAUUCUUGCCAAAGAUUACAAUCAUGAUCCUCUGCUUAAUAAAAUACUAUAUAUUCAAGGACAGUCCUAAUUUCUAAAUGAAAAGCCAGGAGACAUAGCUUACUGAGAGGCAAACCUUGUAUUAAGGACAUAGCAAAAUAACAAUCAACAACUGAACACAAAACAUAAUAUUUUCUUGCAUAGGCCACAAUCUCUAAGGAAAAUAUCCUGAAAAGAACAGAAGGUAAGAACACUUUAAAAGUAAAUAAUUAUGACAGUGAAAAAAUAUGAGUAUGAGCCAAAAGGUUGAUACAAAUACCAAAACUACUUCAAAAGGUUUAGAAACUGAAAGAAUUUAAUGAUAUUGUUUACCAUCUGAAAGGUUUAAACAGAGCCAAUCCAAGGCAGAAUGAAGGUCACCUCCAUAUAAGAGUGUAUUGGUCAUGGCAUCUUCAAUGUCCUUUGUCUUAAAUGAAAAUGCUUGUAAAGCCAUGUAUAAAUCCUAUGACAAGCA
rnacentral:lncRNA from 10 species